CCUACGGGAGGCAGCAGUCGAGAAUCAUUCACAAUGGGGGAAACCCUGAUGGUGCGACGCCGCGUGGGGGAAUGAAGGUCUUCGGAUUGUAAAUCCCUGUCAUGUGGGAGCAAAUUAAAAAGAUAGUACCACAAGAGGAAGAGACGGCUAACUCUGUGCCAGCAGCCGCGGUAAUACAGAGGUCUCAAGCGUUGUUCGGAAUCACUGGGCGUAAAGCGUGCGUAGGCUGUUUCGUAAGUCGUGUGUGAAAGGCGCGGGCUCAACCCGCGGACGGCACAUGAUACUGCGAGACUAGAGUAAUGGAGGGGGAACCGGAAUUCUCGGGGUAGCAGUGAAAUGCGGAGAUAUCGAGAGGAACACUCGUGGCGAAGGCGGGUUCCUGGACAUUAACUGACGCUGAGGCACGAAGGCCAGGGGAGCGAAAGGGAUUAGAUACCCUAGUAGUC
rnacentral:rRNA from 1 species